rnacentral:rRNA from 1 species
AACGAACGCUGGCGGCAGGCUUAACACAUGCAAGUCGAGCGCCCCGCAAGGGGAGCGGCAGACGGGUGAGUAACGCGUGGGAACGUACCUUUUGGUUCGGAACAACUCCGGGACACUGGAGCUAAUACCGGAUAAGCCCUAACGGGGAAAGAUUUAUCGCCGAAAGAUCGGCCCGCGUCUGAUUAGCUAGUUGGUGAGGCAACGGCUCACCAAGGCGACGAUCAGUAGCUGGUCUGAGAGGAUGAUCAGCCACACUGGGACUGAGACACGGCCCAGACUCCUACGGGAGGCAGCAGUGGGGAAUAUUGGACAAUGGGCGCAAGCCUGAUCCAGCCAUGCCGCGUGAGUGAUGAAGGCCUUAGGGUUGUAAAGCUCUUUUGUCCGGGAAGAUAAUGACUGUACCGGAAGAAUAAGCCCCGGCUAACUUCGUG